GGCUUAAUUUGGUUGAACCUAGCGGGUUUUUUACACAUGACACCGUCGAACGGCAGCGCGAGAGAGCUUGCUCUCUUGGCGGCGAGUGGCGGACGGGUGAGUAAUAUAUCGGAACGUGCCCAGUAGCGGGGGAUAACUACUCGAAAGAGUGGCUAAUACCGCAUACGCCCUACGGGGGAAAGGGGGGGAUCGCAAGACCUCUCACUAUUGGAGCGGCCGAUAUCGGAUUAGCUAGUUGGUGGGGUAAAGGUUUUUCAAGGCAACNAUCCGUAGCUGGUU
rnacentral:rRNA from 1 species